GUGAAUUGAAUAUGUUAGCGGACCUCUUCGGAGUCCCUAGCAUCAAAUCAUAUCCAUAACACCUGUGAACUGUAAGGCUGUCUUGAAAACGAAAGUGAUUAGAGCGCCUGCCCAUUUUAUACAAACAUGGUGUAAUGAACGUCAUAUAUCAUAACAAAACA
rnacentral:misc_RNA from 1 species